CUUCCCUGGCCAGCAUCCACCACAUCAGACCCACUGAGUGAGCUCUCUUGUUGUUGCAUGGAAUGGCAAUGUCCACAUAGCACAGGGGAGAAUUUGUGUUACACAGAGCAAUGGUGGGCAGGUUGACAUACAGCCUCUGUGAGUGGCUGGUGGUCAGCCCUGGGAUCGGUCACCACUAGAAGCCGUGGCUCCCUGAAGGCUGCUUGAAUCUGGUUAGUGAAGGCCCUAGGUGUGAAGCUGCCUUCAAUUGGAGUGGCUCCCGUGGCGGCAGCAAACUUCAGCACAGCUCGCUGGCCAGUGUUCCUGGAGGAGAUGACGCUGACGUCAGCAGGGCUCUCAAUGGCAACAAUAGCUCAGGCUGCGAGCAGCAGCUUCUCCCAGGUCCUCUUCAGGUUUAUGAUGUAGAUACUGUCACUUUUCCUUUUGUAGAUGUACUGCUCCAUCUGCAAGUCAAGGUGGUGCCACCUAACUGGGUUCCUGCAGCAAGGAAUUUGAGGACAUCCUCCUUCUUCAUCUGCAGGACGUCAAGGGCUCCGGAUAUUGUCCUCUCAUCUUGAGAUACAUUUCUAAGUCCUCCCUGAAGAACCACAGCCUCUGCAGCAGAGGUCCGCCACCCAGUUUAUUGUCCAGUCCUGUUGGUUUUCAUUCAGAGCACCUGCUGGAUCACUGUUACCAUUUGUAAACGAAGAUUAAAUCUAGCUUCCCCACACUUUCCAUGUUGAAGAAGACUGACCGCUGCAACUAAAGAAUAACACCUGGACUGAGCCAUCCCAGUGGGACUGCUGGAUUCCAUGGUGUGAGAAAACAAGAAGAGCAAGCAUGGUGCACCCAGAUCAUGGGAACAGAACUGGGCUAUUCAUCCAGAUUCAAACAGGACCAUGGGCAGAGAG
rnacentral:lncRNA from 1 species